rnacentral:misc_RNA from 1 species
UUUCCGUAGGUGAACCUGCGGAAGGAUCAUUAUCGAGUUUGAAAGAGGCUGUCGCUGGCCCUCCGGGGCAUGUGCACGCCUUGCUCAUCCAUCUCACACCUGUGCACCUUCAGUGGCUCCGGAGACGAUUGGGGAAACCCUGUCUGAUCUGGUUCCACGUCUUUUACACACACACUAUACGUUCUGAAUGUAAACCGCGAUAAAACGCAUCUAAUACAACUUUCAACAACGGAUCUCUUGGCUCUCGCAUCGAUGAAGAACGCAGC